rnacentral:rRNA from 1 species
AUGGAAGAUCAAUUAGAGGGAGAGCAGAAACAGUGGGGCUAUGACUCAUCUGAUGAGGAUUAUUCUUAUGAUGAAGAUUCUGAUGGGCACAUGGUGAGGAGGAAGAGCCAGUAUCCAAGAUACAAUAAUGACUCAGAAAUUCCACACUUUGCAUUGACAAUGGUAUUCAGGAGCAAGAAUCAGCUUGUGAAAGCAUUGAAGAAAUAUGGGAUUGUGACAAAAAGCAUUGUGUUCUUGAAGUCAGAGAGUAACAGAGUUAGGUCUAAGUGUGGAUGGCCUGGCUGCCCUUGGCUUAUUUAUGGAGCCAAAACCUCAAGAACAAGCAGGUUUCAAAUCAUAACAUUUAAUGAUGAGCACCAUUGUGCACAAAACAGGGAGAACAGACUUGUGACAGCUAAGGUUAUUGCUGAAAGAUAUGAGCACUUCAUUUUAGCUAAUCCAAUGUGGAAAAUUGAGAGCAUGAAAGCAACAGUUCUUCAGGACAUGUUUGCUGAUGUAUCAACUUCUAAGUGCAAGCAUGCAAAGAAGCUUGUCAUGGACAAGUUAAGGGCUGGAAUGAAG